rnacentral:rRNA from 1 species
GACGAACGCUGGCGGCGUGCUUAACACAUGCAAGUCGAACGGAAAGGCCAGUGCUUGCACUGGUACUCGAGUGGCGAACGGGUGAGUAACACGUGGGUGAUCUGCCUUGCACUCUGGGAUAAGCUUGGGAAACUGGGUCUAAUACCGGAUAUGAACUGCCUUUAGUGUGGUGGUUGGAAAGUUUUUUCGGUGCAAGAUGAGGUCGCGGGCUAUCAGCUUGUUGGUGGGGUAAUGGCCUACCAAGGCGUCGACGGGUAGCCGGCCUGAGAGGGUGUACGGCCCCAUUGGGACUGAGGUACGGCCCAGAAGCCUACGGGAGGCAGUGGGGGGGAAUAUUGCACAAUGGGCGGGAGCCUGAUACAACGGCGCCGGGUUGGGGAAGACCGGCUUUGGGUUGUAAACUACUUUCGACAGGGACGAAGCGUAAGUGACGGUACCUGUAUAAGAAGCACCGGCUAACUACGUG